CUGUAAAUUUCGACAUACUAAAACGCUGUUUUCUGCCUAUCAGAAUUCUGUUAAAUCUUCCCCCAAAGUCCAGGAAAUGGCAUUUUAGAGACUCUAAAUUUAAAAAUUUCCUCGGGCCUUCGGCCCUCGCUUUCAGCCCCCCCAAUCGAAAAGAGCUUCCUACGGCCCUGGAAUAGGAUGUGCUUUCUCAUUUAGUCACAUGAUCAAGAUGAUCUUCACAUGAUCAGAGUCACAUGAUCUUAACAUGAUCAGAGUUGAUCAGAGCACGGUGAUCAGAGUCACAUGUAUCAUGCCAAUACUUGAUGUAGCGUUACUGUAAAUAAG